rnacentral:lncRNA from 1 species
CACACAAACACACACACACCCUCUACCUCACAGAACCUUGGAAAGAGUGAAACACUGUCUGGAAAGCAUUUUGAGUUCUGCAGAAAAGACUGCCUUAAACAUCUAAAGUUAUGUUCCUAGUUAUCUUCAUAUUUCUUCUCUCCCACACAAGUACUUAAAUUUUAGUAGCAAAAGCAGUUAGUUGUCCCUGAUCAUCACUGAGUGGGCUGAGUAUUUUGUUUUGUUGUGAGAUUGUCUCAAAUUUUGGCUUUAUCACAGGACUCAGAAGCUGCUAUCGAAAAACCCAAAGAAUCCUUAUGAGGAGUCGAGCAGAGAUGUGAGGAGUCGCAGGCCUGCUGACACUGAGGAUGGGAUGUCCUCUUGCCCUCAACCUUGGGGUCAAUGCAACCAACUUCAUGGAGGCAGGAGCCCCAGUUAUGUGGAAUGGGCACAGAGCAAGGCUGCUGGAUUCCAGUAUCCAGUGAUAAGGGCUCCUGUCCCCAGGUAAUGGAGCGAAGCUUUCAUAUGCCCUCCUAUGGGACACAGACCCUUGAAGGGGGUGUCGAGAAGCCCCAUUCUCUCCUAUCAGCUAACCCAUUAUGGCAACAAAGGGCCCUGGACCCACCACACCAAAUGGAGCUGACUCAGUGAAAACUGGAAUUAAAAGGAAAGUCAAGAAGAAUGAACUAUGUCGAUGCACAGUAUCUUUUCUUUCAAAAGUAGAGCAAAACUAUAGGUUUUGGUUCCACAAUCUCUACGACUAAUCACCUACUCAAUGCCUGGAGACAGAUACG